rnacentral:rRNA from 1 species
AAGACCUUGCGUUUUUGGAGCGGCCGAUGUCUGAUUAGCUAGUUGGUGGGGUAAUGGCCUACCAAGGCUUCGAUCAGUAGCUGGUCUGAGAGGACGGCCAGCCACACUGGGACUGAGACACGGCCCAGACUCCUACGGGAGGCAGCAGUGGGGAAUUUUGGACAAUGGGCGCAAGCCUGAUCCAGCCAUGCCGCGUGAGUGAAGAAGGCCUUCGGGUUGCAAAGCUCUUUCAGCCGAGAAGAAAAGAUUGUGACUAAUAAUCGCAAUUCAUGACGGUACCGGCAGAAGAAGCACCGGCUAACUACGUGCCAGCAGCCGCGGUAAUACGUAGGGUGCGAGCGUUAAUCGGAAUUACUGGGCGUAAAGGGUGCGCAGGCGGUUUUGUAAGUCAGAUGUGAAAUCCCCGGGCUUAACCUGGGAACU